AUUGAACGCUGGCGGCAGGCCUAACACAUGCAAGUCGAACGCGAAAACCCCUUCGGGGGCAAGUAGAGUGGCGAACGGGUGAGUAACGCGUAGGAAUCUACCCAGGAGUGGGGGACAACCCGGAGAAAUCCGGGCUAAUACCGCAUAUGCCCUACGGGGUAAAGUGGGGGACCUUUAGGGGCCUCACGCUUUUGGAUGAGCCUGCGUCGGAUUAGCUUGUUGGUAAGGUAACGGCUUACCAAGGCGACGAUCCGUAGCUGGUCUGAGAGGAUGACCAGCCACACUGGGACUGAGACACGGCCCAGACUCCUACGGGAGGCAGCAGUGGGGAAUAUUGGACAAUGGGGGCAACCCUGAUCCAGCCAUGCCGCGUGUGUGAAGAAGGCCUUCGGGUUGUAAAGCACUUUCAGUAGGGAAGAAAAGCCUAAGGUUAAUACCCUUGGGUCUUGACGGUACCUACAGAAGAAGCACCGGCUAAUUCCGUG
rnacentral:rRNA from 1 species